AUUGUGAGGGGUCUCCUGAGUACAUGCUAGAGGUGAUGGAACGACAGGAAAUGGUGUUGUCUUUCACAUCAGGUGAAAAUCCGUUCAAGGUCCAAGAUCGUACUCUCCUGGUCCAUAUUAAAUGUAAAAGAAGACAACGUUUCCUCCUGAAAUCACGUACUCCAGUCCUGGGAUUCAUUCUGAUUAGACCGACUGGAGUCAGUUAUGCUACGAGAGGUAGAGAGAUGGUGGCAUGCGCCAGAACAUCAAAAGAAAAUUUACACUGAACAGAGUGUAAUGACUCUGGCUCUUUCUUUUUCAUUAAAAAAAAUGUGUAAGAGAGUUCUGGUCUGGAGGCAAGUUGUGUUUGUUGUUCUCAACAGCUAUAGUGUUAUACACCAUCUGAUGGCCAUUUCGACUUGACUCGGUUUAACUGUUUUGAAGACCACAAGCUUCUGUCUCAUGCGCUUGGUCAUCAUUCGGAAGCAGUCUGAGGAGUUUCCAUGUGCUGUUAGAAUUGGUUUUCCUGGAAUUGUUAGGUUUGCAUAAUUCCAAAAUAAUCUGUAGCAUUUUAUUGCUGGGAAGGAACUUGGAGUUCUUGUCAUGGAUGGGCAUGACCUACAACAUCCCCUGUGCUUGAUAACAGGGCUGGGCCCUCUCAGAAGCUGUUUGGCCUUGCCUGUAGGCCCCAACCUUUCAAGAGGAAGGGUAUUUUCUCUGGAAGGAGGCCCUGAUUGAUCACUGCAAUCCUCAGGCGGCUUUAACCACAAGAUCCCCUGUAUACCAUGCUGGAUACUUGAUGGUUGUGGUCUUGCCCGGACUUCUUCCCACUCAUAAGCACUCUCUGAGCUUGAUUUUUGUUCUUGAAUAUUGCAGAAGACAAACAACAGUCCUUUAACACAAACCUAGCUGGAACUGGGCCAAAACCUUCGUGGGGAAGAGUGGCUAUAUCUUGUCACUUGAGCCUUCUGUUGCUUUUUGUAUUCCUAUUUAUUUAUUUAUUUAACCUUAAUGGAAUCUCACUGUGAAAAGCAGUACUGUGCUAUGUAAAGGGAAGUCUCUCUAGAGUCCAGGUGCCUGGCUCACCUACUUACCAGUUGUGUGAUUUUGGAUAAGUUACUGAAUCUCUUCGUGUCUCUGAUUUCCUCGUCUAUAAAUCAGGAUAAUAAGAGGAACAUCGUUAAAGAAAUCUCCCGGUGUAUGAAAUCAGAUAAACAUAUGCCAGUACCUAGAACAGUGCCUGACAUAUAGAAAUCAUUUGAGUUAUGUUAAUUAGUAUUAUAGAAGUUACAUAGAACAUAUAAAGAAUACAUAUUCUCUUUCUGGACCUCUUUCCUGACAUGAAUUUAAGUAUUUGGCUGUGGUAUAAAUGUUUAGAUAUGUUAAAAAUGAAUAAAUGCCAGGCAUCUGAG
rnacentral:lncRNA from 1 species